rnacentral:lncRNA from 1 species
GCCUGUCACUAGUUGUGCAAUGAAGUGCCAAAUGAAUGAUAUCAGCAAAGAUUAAAUAUCUCCAGGAUGUCUCCUCUGCCAGCACUGUACCAGCUUUAGAAAAACAUGCUUGCAUUAGCACACAGAAUAGAGCACAUCACCAGAUAAGCUCAUUUUUGAAAUGCCACAGUAAUCUCUUCCUUUUCACAGUUUUUCAUCCGUAAUCACGUCGGUGUGUACUGGCUCAGGCUGGCUGCCCCCAGGGGCUUCAGUGGGGAGGGUAUUAAAUGGGCAUUUUGUGAGUGGCAUUCCUGAUGCCAGGGCAGUCCUGCAGCCAAACAGCUAUCAGCCAUGGCCUCUGUGAAGAAGUCUCUCGAAGGACUCAAAGGGACAACGCAGGCAGCUGCUAAGGGAGUCACCGAUUCUGCUGUCCAAGCAGCACAAGAGGCUGUGCAGCAGGUGGCAGAGUCAUCCAAAGAAACAACAAAAAUGGCUGCAGAUGAGGCCUCCAAGCAGACUCAGAGUGCCAUAGGCACAGCUGCAGGCAAAGCAACAGAUGCCAUCAAGGAAUUUGGACAACAACUUGGUCCAAAAUGAGGAGAGACAAAUUCCCUAUGAUCUCAUGUAAAUGCCGCAGUCUUGACAGACUGAAAUGGACUUGGUAUUAGAAAAAAUAUAUAAAAUUAUUUUAUAUUUUUGCUAAGUAAUAAGCAAACAAGCUGAAGAAGUAAGACUUUGUAAUACUGACAUGGGACUAAUUCCACUGCAGAAGUAAAAUUGAGAUUAUGCAUUUAGAUAACACUUACACUUUGUCCUUGACAAAUCUGUUUUCUUUUUAUGCAGUACGUAACCAUAAUUAGGGGAUGGAAAUGCAAGGGGAAAAAAAUUCGUUUUCACAAUUCUAGUACAUUUCUUGAUGAAAAUCCAAACAGGCCUGCAAUCCUAAAAUGAGAAAGGUUACUUUACCUUCUGUAAUUUCUAGAAGCAGUCUAUCACCCAACAAAAAAGCUGUGACAGUUAAUUUGAGCUUUUUUGUAUUUUUUCACACAUUUUUAUGUUUGCUUGAUCUCCCCAGCCUGUGAUUUUUCAUUUUCACCUUACCUCAUUCUUUAGAGAUAAGGCACUGCUGUGAUAAGCUAGUGUCUUUAGGAAGACAAACCAAAUAUACCAAUGUAGACAUACAGUAUAGUGCUGUCCUUGGGAUCUUUUCAUAAAAGCAAGCAAUCUUACACAUUUUAUUUAUUUUGGAAAUGUUGCUUUAGUCUAUAUACUGUAUGUACCUGAAGAAAUUCGAAUGCUGAGAUGUCUUUUUGAAAAAGGAACAGUCAAACACAAAGAAUCUGUAUUCAAAAAUGUCUCAAUAAAGACUAACAGUUUUUGUACUUGUAGUUUCACAGUAAACAAUUUAAAAACCUUGGUUGGUGAUACAUUUAUGAAAUUAUUGUAACUACUAGGAUUGAAUGGCCUUUAAGCUCGAAGAAUAAAAUGUUCCAAGAAACAGUAAUGG